UCGAGCGGAUGACGGGAGCUUGCUCCUUGAUUCAGCGGCGGACGGGUGAGUAAUGCCUAGGAAUCUGCCUGGUAGUGGGGGACAACGUUUCGAAAGGAACGCUAAUACCGCAUACGUCCUACGGGAGAAAGCAGGGGACCUUCGGGCCUUGCGCUAUCAGAUGAGCCUAGGUCGGAUUAGCUAGUUGGUGGGGUAAUGGCUCACCAAGGCGACGAUCCGUAACUGGUCUGAGAGGAUGAUCAGUCACACUGGAACUGAGACACGGUCCAGACUCCUACGGGAGGCAGCAGUGGGGAAUAUUGGACAAUGGGCGAAAGCCUGAUCCAGCCAUGCCGCGUGUGUGAAGAAGGUCUUCGGAUUGUAAAGCACUUUAAGUUGGGAGGAAGGGCAGUAAGCUAAUACCUUGCUGUUUUGACGUUACCGACAGAAUAAGCACCGGCUAACUCUGUGCCAGCAGCCGCGGUAAUACAGAGGGUGCAAGCGUUAAUCGGAAUUACUGGGCGUAAAGCGCGCGUAGGUGGUUUGUUAAGUUGGAUGUGAAAGCCCCGGGCUCAACCUGGGAACUGCAUCCAAAACUGGCAAGCUAGAGUACGGUAGAGGGUGGUGGAAUUUCCUGUGUAGCGGUGAAAUGCGUAGAUAUAGGAAGGAACACCAGUGGCGAAAGCGACCACCUGGACUGAUACUGACACUGAUGUGCGAAAGCGUGGGGAGCAAACAGGAUUAGAUACCCUGGUAGUCCACGCCGU
rnacentral:rRNA from 1 species